rnacentral:ncRNA from 1 species
UGAUAGAGGCGCGGCUGACAAGAGUAGCCCCGGCAAACGGCAGGAAACCGUGGGGUGAAAGGGGAGGCCGCCGAGGGGAGAUAUGGGUUCCUGGUCAUAUCUUUGCCGGGCCGUCGGGGAAUACCCGCCGGACUGUCGCGGCGACAUGCCGCGGAGAGCUGUC